ACAGACAACCAGGAGGUUGGCUUAGAAGCAGCCACCCUUGAAAGAGUGCGUAAUAGCUCACUGGUCUAGUGAUUCCGCGCCGACAAUGUAGCGGGGCUCAAGCGUACCGCCGAAGUCGUGUCAUUGCGAUAUAUACCCCCAACGGGGAUCGUGAUGGGUAGGGGAGCGUCGUGUGCCGGGUGAAGCAGCCGCGUAAGCGAGUUGUGGACGGUUCACGAGUGAGAAUGCAGGCAUGAGUAGCGAUACAAACGUGAGAAACGUUUGCGCCGAUUGACUA
rnacentral:rRNA from 1 species